GACGAACGCUGGCGGCGUGCCUAAUACAUGCAAGUCGAACGCAGUUGCGAACGGGUGAGUAACGCGUAGGUAACUGCCUCAUAGCGGGGGAUAACUAUUGGAAACGGUAGCUAAUACCGCAUACUGUGAGAUGGACCUGCGUUGUAUUGGGUAGUUGGUGAGGUAAAGGCUCACCAAGGCGACGAUACAUAGCCGACCUGAGAGGGUGAUCGGCCAAAAUGGGACUGGGGCAACGCCCAGACUCCUACGGGAGGCAGCAGGAGGGAAACUUCGGAAAUUGGCGGAAGGCUGGACGAGCAACGCCGCGGGAGUGGAGAAGGUUUUCGGAGCGGAAAGCUCUGUUGUUAGAGAAGCGGUAACUAAACAGAAAGGGACGGCUAACUACGUGCCAGCAGCCGCGGUAAUUC
rnacentral:rRNA from 1 species